rnacentral:tRNA from 1 species
AGGGGUAUAGCUUAGCGGUAGAGCGUGUGCUUAGCAUGUACGAGGUCCUGGGGUCAAUCCUCAAUACUUCCG